rnacentral:rRNA from 1 species
UACGUAGGGGCGAGCGUUGUCCGGAAUUAUUGGGCGUAAAGAGCGUGUAGGCGGUUCGGUAAGUCUGCCGUGAAAACCUGGGCUCAACCCGGGCUUGCAUUCGAUACGGCGGACUAGAGUUCGGUAGGGAGACUGGAUCCUGGUGUAGCGGUGAAUGCGCAGAUAUCAGGAGGAACACCGUGGCGAAGCGGGUCUCUGGCCGAUACUGACGCUGAGGAGCGAAGCGUGGGAGCAACAGAUAGAU